rnacentral:rRNA from 2 species
UGGGGAAUAUUGGACAAUGGGCGCAAGCCUGAUCCAGCCAUGCCGCGUGAGUGAUGAAGGCCUUCGGGUUGUAAAGCUCUUUUGGCGGGGACGAUGAUGACGGUACCCGCAGAAUAAGCCCCGGCAAACUUCGUGCCAGCAGCCGCGGUAAGACGAAGGGGGCAAGCGUUGUUCGGAAUUACUGGGCGUAAAGGGCGCGUAGGCGGUUCUUUAAGUCAGGCGUGAAAGCCCUGGGCUCAACCUGGGAGUGGCGCUUGAUACUGGGGGACUAGAGAGUGGGAGAGGUUGGUGGAAUUCCCAGUGUAGAGGUGAAAUUCGUAGAUAUUGGGAAGAACACCGGUGGCGAAGGCGGCCAACUGGACCAUUUCUGACGCUGAGGCGCGAAAGCGUGGGGAGCAAACAGG